rnacentral:misc_RNA from 1 species
UUUCCGUAGGUGAACCUGCGGAAGGAUCAUUAAAGUUAUAGUCCCCCGGCCCUCUGGGCUGGGGUCUUCUAUACCACCCUUUGUUUAUUACACCUUUGUUGCUUUGGCAGGCCUGCCCUCGGGCUGCUGGCUCCGUCCGGCUCGCGUCUGCCAGAGGACCUAAACUCUGUUUGUAUAUGAAGUCUGAGUACUAUAUAAUAGUUAAAACUUUCAACAACGGAUCUCUUGGUUCUG